rnacentral:rRNA from 1 species
CCUGAACGCUGGCGGCGUGGCUAAGACAUGCAAGUCGCACGGGGUAGCAAUACCCAGUGGCGAACGGGUGAGUAAUGAAUCGCUAAUGUGCCCCGGACUCUGGGAUAGCUUUCCGAAAGGAAAGGUAAUACCAGAUGAGACCACGAACAGGCAUCUGUUUGUGCUCAAAGGUCCGCCGGUCUGGGAGCAGGCGAUUUCGUAUCAGCUAGUUGGUGAGGUAACGGCUCACCAAGGCGACGACGCGUAGCCGGACUGAGAGGUUGGCCGGCCACAUUGGGACUGAGACACUGCCCAGACUCCCACGGGGGGCUGCAGUAACGAAUCUUCCGCAAUGUACGAAAGUAUGACGGAGCGACGCCGCGUGUGGGACGAAGCCCUUCGGGGUGCAAACCACUGUCAGGGGUUAGAAAGUUCUGAUCAACCCCAGAGGAAGGGACGGCUAACUCUGUGC